rnacentral:snoRNA from 1 species
UGUGCCCCAUCAGGUUUUCUAAGAAUAGCUACUGUGUUGGUCCAGAUGGUGGCAUGGUGGAGAAGGCAGGUGAAUCCUACAUG